UUUCGAGUAGGUCCUUAAUUACUUCUUUCUCCUUUGUUAGAACUUUUGAAUGUGGAUGAUGAGGUUGACUUGGAUGUAGUAGAAGAUGAUGGGCCUAAUCCCGAUGCAGCGAAGUUAUUUGAGAACAGUGGGUGGUCUGUUCGAACAAGGGGCGUUGCUAAAUAUCUAAAGAACUUGUUUUAUGAAGAAUCUGUGCGUGGAAGAAAAACUGUUGCAGUGGACCGUCUUUUAUUUGG